UACGGAGGAUGCGAGCGUUAUCCGGAUUUAUUGGGUUUAAAGGGUGCGUAGGCGGCGAGUUAAGUCAGCGGUAAAAGCCCGGGGCUUAACCCCGGAACGGCUUUGGAAACUGGCCGGCUGGAGUGCUGGAGAGGCAGGCGGAAUUCCUGGUGUAGCGGUGAAAUGCGUAGAUAUCAGGAGGAACACCGGUGGCGAAGGCGGCCUGCUGGACAGUAACUGACGUUGAGGCUCGAAAGCGUGGGGAGCAAACAGG
rnacentral:rRNA from 1 species